GCAGCACGUUGAAUGUUGGAUUUGAGUUUUUGAAACCAACGGUUGAGAUUUAAGCGCAGUUCGAAGGAAGAAAACCGGUGAAACCGGUUAUGGUAAGGUCGAGCACGUACACGGCCGCUUAAAAGGUUGUUUUACCCUGUCCGUCCGGCUCUCUCUCUCCCUAAACGUCUGCAAGCGGCCCUCUCUCCCUCAAUCCGUCACCCGACGCCCCGUGUAGCCUCUCUCUCUCUUCCCUCUUUCUCCGAUGGCGGAUUCGAUGAGCAGCGACGACGAGCAGGAUUACUAAUCCGAUCGAGACUCCCUCCAAGGAAUCGAAAACGACGAUGAAGACGAUUGCGAUUGGCCUUCUCCAAACGUGCCCUCUUGUCAGCUGCUGCCGCGGCGGAUCCAAUCCUAUGGAAAUUGAGAGAAUCGACGGAAGUGGAAUAUUGAUUUCUGUUGUAAUGCGUGCAAAUUAUUUCUGUGUAGAAGAUUGUUUCUUGGAUUGGGUGUGAAAUUUGCAAAUUGGAAUGCGUAGGAUUGAAAUAUGCUCCAUAUUUUAGGCGGAAAAUUAGUUACGUGAUGGAAUCUUAUUCAUUUUUGGGGA